AUACAAUUGCUCUUGAUAAUUCAAAUCUAAGGGAAAAAAAUCAUUAAUGCUAUAACUACCUGCUGUUGCGACAUUGACUGCUAUAUGUACAGGCCUAUGCAUAGCUUAAACGUUAACUGCCGUGGGACUUCUUUUUCAAUGACUUGUGUCUACCUCUAAAUGCUAGGUUGGGUACUGGAGUGCUCUUUUGAAGGACCCCUAAUGUUGAUUGGGGGCCAGGAGAUUAUUGGUGAUGGAUGGGGAGCUUUCCUUUUCUGUAUGACCAAUGGGGCCGCAAUUUUGGUUCAAGAAAGGCAGCCAGGUACUCCACAAAUAUUUAAAGGUGUGUAGCUGGAGGACAAAGUUUGUAAAAUUGUGAUUGAAUAUAACUCUGGAGAUACUUUCUGUCUUUCCCUUUAAUUCCAAAAUUAAUGGUUUAAGCUCUUGAGUUACGACGCUAAACUGUAUUAACAGAAAAGUUAAGGCACUAAACUGCAUUAACAGAAAAUCCUUCAGUUCAUUUAUUCAUCAUGGACAUUUUGCUUCUAAUCCUAUAUGGUGAAUGUUUAUUUUGCUGGUUGGUAUGCCAUGGAGGGCUCAAUACGGUUGUGAGACUAAAACAAAUAAGUGUCGGCAUAUGUCUCUUGCCUUGUUGGUGUCUAUUGGGUGGAAAACCAGAAGAAUCUCUAGACCAAUUACCGCUCUUAUGCUCAUUCAGGAAGAAGAUAUCGGGAAUCUUCCUCCUUUGCUUCAAUCUUUCAUGACGUACCGAUCUUUUUUGCCCGAGGAUGAUGCGAUGCAAUUAUUGAGUUGACAUAAAUUUUAAGGAAAGGCUAAGGUCUUUAGCGUUAAUGCAGUUAGAACAUUUCUUGGAUUCUUUUCUUGAAGAGAAACUAUCAAAAUUUACAUUGACAGGGAAGAACUUGGGAAGUUAUGUCUCAAAUCAAGUCCAUAUGAUUUUAGGAUUUGUUCUUCUCAAUGUUACCAAUUACUCCUAGCAAUUAAUUUCUAUUGAAUCUCUGUUUUGUAAACUCCUAAUGAGGGAGAACAGUUUUUGCAUUUAGCCUUUCAAUAUACUAAUGAAACGCAUCUCCUUUUUAUUUAAAAGUAAAAGGAUGAAGAAAAGUUACUGUAGCAAUUGUGGGAUCUUCAUAGAAGUAGAUCAGAGAAAGAAUGGCCUACUCUCCUGGCGAUCCCAAUCUCCAACAAACGAGACAAAUUUCUUACUCCAAACAGCAUAUGUAGCAGCAUGGGUCAUCAAGGCAAUGUUCCAAUAUUGCAGUGGAUAAGAUGGAAGUCUAGAGUGAUUUCUUCGGCAGAGGUUCCAAAAUCCAUGUUCAUCUUGUGCAAGAUGAUAGUCGACAUGUACUACGCCUGGAAUGUCUAUCAGUUGAGUACACUGAAAACUUGGCCAUCUUACACCACAAAAGCUGAAAAAGAAAGAAAGAUUUUCUGCAAAGCAAUUGAUUCUAUUUGCUCCCUUCAAUUUAAAAAUUUUUAUACAGUGAGGGCCAUCCAAACAGCCCAUAAAGAUUUAUUAUCUUUUGCUACUUGAUUACCAUUUGAAUUGGAAGCAAUUUUGGGUCAGGCAAGUUGCCAGAGGUCAUGUCAUUGGAAUGAGCAAAUUUUGGAUUUUAUAGAUUCAAAGAGAUGGUUGAGAAGAAUGAUCAUGCUUUGUUGUAAAGAGAGAGAGUUUGAAGCAGAUGAAUGUGUAAAAGCACACGAUGUCUGCUAUGAAGGCCCACGCCAGAAUUUUCCCCCUCCGCUUCGUGGGCUCCAGCAGCCGCCAGCUCCCUUCCCAUGUAAACUUCUCCUCGCCGGAGAAAUCUCCUUCUCCGGCGACGGCAGUGCUCCUCUUCCGUUUACUUGCAGCGGCGGCGUGUUUCAAGUGAACUUAUCCAGUUAGCUAUAGAGAGACUUAUUUAGAUAGCAUUCAACUAAUUCUGGACUGUUCUGUCCGCAGGAAAAAUCCAAAAUUGAGUUGUAGUCGGGUUGUUCGCAUCGUCCUGCACAGGAAGAAAGAACACAGAGCCUCGACUCGACCUGUGGAUCUACAAAGGUAACGUGAAAGAUUGAGCUUGAACUGGCUAACCCAAAUCACUUUUCAAACUAUACUUCCCUGGGUUAAAAUUAAAUGAGAUGGUUUUGAGGGUAUAAAUGAAGAAUCUAUAAAGAGAAUUAAGCUCUUUGCACCACUUUUUUUUUGGUGUGGUGACUUAAACCUUCCAAUAAUGUACAAAAUUGAUAGAGAUGUACAAAGAUUUUAUUGUUGGAAAUAAAGUCACUUGUAC